UUAGGUGGCUAUGGCGGUGAGGAAACGCCCGAUCCCAUUCCGAACUCGGAAGCUAAGCUCACCAGCGCCGAUGGUACUGCGUAUUGUGGGAGAGUAGGUCGCCGCCGUCC
rnacentral:rRNA from 1 species